GCCUGGGUGGCUCAGUCGGUUGAGCGUCCGACUUCAGCUCAGGUCAUGAUCUCGCAGUUUGUGGGUUCGAGCCCCGCGUCGGGCU
rnacentral:tRNA from 1 species